GUCCUGUUUACACUGAGGAAAGAUCUACAGAUUACAGCAGGAGUUAACCACAGCUUACCUGAAAACUCUCAUCUAACUUGAGUCCAAGAAGCAGAUGCUGCCCUCUUUUACACCGGUGCAAUUCUGGAAUAACUCCACUGACGUCAGUGAAGUGAAAUUUAUCCCAGUUGAAAGCAGAAUUGGACCACAGUCUCAUCAUCUGCUUAUAUGCUAUGGUGCUCUCAGGAAGGUGCACCAUUACCAUACCAUAAGACUCAACAAUAUCUGUCCACUGCUCUUCCUCUCAACCUGGAACCUCUGCUGACUGUGUCUGGUCCUUCCUUCCUGUCCAGAGCUUUCCAGCUGUCCACUGAUCUUUCUACUUCCUGGGGCCUCUAGUAAUUCCUCACUCCCAUUAACUUGCCGGAGUCACUUCAGUAGUGCAUUGUACCUAAUUUUGAGGAUAGCCUUGAGAUGGCUCUGCUGCAGCUCAGCCCGGGUUUCUGGUUUGGAUGCAGAAAUCAACAAUAACAGAAAUGAAGUUGCCUGCAACAACUUUCAUUGAACUGAAGGUCAGAUAAGUUGAUAACAAUGGUCACUCGUGCCUGAAGAGGUUAGCAGAAUAAUUUCCUAUUGCAGGCAUUGUUCUGACAAAGACAAAAUAAAGCCAUGGCUUCGUGUUUCCUCUUUCACCUCUGAGUUUUACCCUAUGAGAAAGUGACCAAGUAUGUCUUCAAUCUCAGAGGAUAGAACAGACAUUGACCAAGGCUGGAUUCUGGAUGAUGCAAGGCUGUUGUGUCAGAAUGCUGCAAAAGAUGUUGCAUCUCCUCCUCAUGGUGUUGGUGAAGUUUCCCUCUGUGCAGGGAAUACAGCAUUUAUGGACAGGAAACUGCUUUCCUUGCUUAGAGGUUUUCUUAUUUUCUUUAAAGGGGUUAGCAUGCUUAGUUACAGGAAACUGAAAUUAGAUGUGAACAGGGGUUGGAGGAAGCAGGCAGGGAGAAUCCUCUACAAGAUUCAAAUGUGUAUGAUUUCUGGGAAAACUAAAUAAAACAGAAUUUAAUUCCCAGUGUCUAAAUAGCAGCAAUUUUUCAUCUAUUAAUCAAAAGACCCAGACAAGCACUGAGUAGUGUGGGAAGCUGGAAAUGGACAUAGGACACCUCCAAACCAUUCUGUUACUGACACCUAUUUUAAAUCUUUUUUCAAGUGGAGGACCCAGUCCUAGCAAAUGUGUACAGUCAGCCCUUAGAAGAGCACAAAGCUUUCUCUAGAGAACUAAAUAGCUGGUGAAAGCAUGCCCAUUUGUCUGCCUGUCUUUUGCCCCUGGAUUACUGUGCUUUUAUAGACUGUUUUCAUAGCUCAAAUAAAUGGUAGAAGCUUAACAUAGCUCUACAAAUAAUAAUCAUCCUGAUCAUGCAUAAUAUGUGUUAUGUAAGAGGUGGGCCCAAACUAGAGAUAUUUCUCAUUUCCCUAUGAAGUGUCUUGUUUGAGUGUAUUUGGAGUUAGUUCUUCUUGUGAACAUGUGAGUCUAUUGCCUACUUUAAAGGAGGUAGUGACUUAGUUUCAGUGGCUGUAGAGAGUUUCACUGAAAUAGCACUGUUUAUAGUCUUUCAUGUGAUUUAGAAGGCACAAUUGCCAUAUAGUUCUGAAAAUGUAAUAUAAUUGUAUACAGUGUUCCUGGGAAAUGUUCUGAAGUUUUUUCCCACUGCACCAUUGUGAUGAAAACCUCUGUUGCUCUUCACGCUCUGUGAGCCCAUGCUGUACUAUGCUGAAGUUGAUGGGAAACCCACUUAGUAAUAGGAAGUGAUGGACAGAGAGGGAUGCUCUGGCCUGGAAUCUCCUCUUUGGCAAUGGCACAGGUCAGCCCUGCAGCCAAAAGUCCAGAACAAAAGGCAGAUCUACCCUCAGUGUGUUGCCAGUUCUCCAUGUAGGUGAAUAGGAGGAUGAGAAAUAGAGAAGUAAUUCUGGAAGGAGAGAGAUUUAGAGGAAGAGUGGAGUAAAAGGGGUUCUGAUCAUUACAUCUGGGAUUUUCAAAGGUACUCUAUUGAUGCUGGGCAUCCAGCUCCUCCAGGCUAUUUAUCAAUAACACCCUUUAAAUUUUCAUGUAUGACUUUUAGCUUGUGUGGCAGUCCUUACAGUCAGCGCAUGAGGGAAAAGAGGUAGAAAGCAUCUCCUAAUGUGACAGUUCUUGGCACCUGUAACAAGCAAGGAUUGUAAUAUCUCCUCAUGGCUGCUGACUGAGGGUCUGGCCAGAGCUGCCACAAACCCUUCUUGCAUGGGCAGUUGUCUUCAGAGGUAGACAAAGUGUAAGCUGCCUGCUGCAGAAAUCUGUGAGCCUUCAGAUGCAUGGCAUGCAGAUCAGAGACUUUAGGUGAUACUGUGUGCCACCACAAACAGCAUGGAUAUUGGUUGCAGGACCCUUUUGCUUUUGCUGUGAAAUCUAACUCCUAGAUGUUAUUUAAAGGAAAACAGUUGGGAUUUGCAGGCCAGGUCAUGUGGUGACAAAAGUAUUUCCAGUGCCCUCACUGGAGCCAGGCUGAUUUAUACAAGUCUAGUCCAACAUUUCUGAGAAACUGUGGAUGAUAGGUUUUUUUGUUGUUGUUCUUGGCUGCACUGAAAACCUGAAGCCUUUCAAAUAAAGUAUGUGAAGGAAACAGAUUUUUUAGAUGGAAUAGUGAAAAUGCUGUUUUCUGGACUCAGACUUUGAGACAAGUUUUUUGCAGAACCCACAUGUUGUGAGAGAAGAGGGUAUUGGGCUUGAAAGCUGACCAAUGAAAUGGGACUCAACUGAGCUUUGAAAAGCAAUUAUUGUCCUUAUUGGUGUUGCCAUAAUAUAUGCUUAACUCAAACCCAAUCUUGCACAGGCCAGAACCCAAUGAAACCAUGUAACUAGGUAUUUGUGAUUGUUCCUAUCGGUGUGAUCCACUGUUGAAUAGGCUGGACAUAUGAAUAAAACCAAUAUUUUUUAAAGUGUUGUGUGUUUUUCAUGUCAAAAAGACUGGUUGCACUCUGGUACUUUACUAUGUCCAUAUGAAGUAUAUUAUGUGGGAUUAAUACAACUGUACAGCUUUCUUAGGACAAUUGGCAGC
ensembl:lncRNA